UAGACCAACCAUUUUUAAUUAAAUUUUUUAAAUCAUAUUCUACUAAAAAAAAAAAAUAAAUAAUUCCCUUGGUAAUUUCUACUGGAGUCACAUAUACUUAUAAUAAUAGUGAUUUUUCCAACUAAAUUCAAAAAUUGUAAUUGGUUUUUAUUAACCGUUUUCCAAUAAUUACUGAAAAAAAAUGUGGCAAAAAUUAAAGUUAAACAUGUUUAGCGUAGUUUAUAAUCACC